ensembl:scaRNA SCARNA7 small Cajal body-specific RNA 7
UGGAUAUGAUGACAGCUGAGGUGUGGUGCUGGUGUGAGUGACAGCUGAAUAAUGUUUAGAAUAAUGUUUAAUGUGUAUUUUAGCUCUGUAUAGUGUGUGUGUGUGUGUGUGUGGCGCUGAUGGGUGGGGGUGUCAGAGAUCAGUGCUGAUACAGGAGUGCAUCUGAGGCGGCCGCUCACACCGAGGCUUCUCUGCGGUCUGGCUGAUGAUUAGAGCCUCAGUAUCAUCCUCACCCUCGGCCACCGGCGCCACAGUCUCAGCAGGGCACGUGAUCCGUCACACACGCCCUGCGAUCUGAUCCGA